AAUAAAUUUAGUUUUGGUUUAUGAUUUUAAUUUUAAUUUAUAAUAUUAUACACAUUAUUUGAUAUAUUAUUAAUUUUGUAGUGUUAAGUAUUAGGUAGUUAUUUUUGGAAAAUUGAUUUAGUAAUUUUUUUAAUGUAUGGUAAAUUUUAGUGCCAGCAUCCGCGGUUAUACUAAGAUAUUAAUUGAAAUUAAGUAGUAAAAUUUUGUUUAGUUUUAAGUAUUAUAAUAAUCCUUUGAAUUUUAUAAUUAAUAGGUAUAAUUUGUGAAUUUAAAUAAUUUAAAGGUAUAAUUAAGCAUAUUUUUAUUAUUUAUAAACCUGGAUUAGAUACCCAGCUAUAUAAUAAAUUAUUUUUUACUUUGUAAUUAUUACGUUAAAGUGAAAAAAAUUGGCGGCAAACAAAUCUUUCAGUGGAUAAUGAAUUGUAAUGGAUAAUACUCUUUAUAUCUUUCUAGUUAUAUAAUAAUAUGUAUAUCUCUGUUGGUAAAUAUUUUAUUAAUUAUAUUUUAAGGUUUAUAAUAUAAUAUUUAUUAUUAUUAGGUCAAGUAAGAUGCAGUUUAUUAAUUAGUUUUUUUGUUAUACAUUAAUAUUUUUUUAUUAAUAAUUUUGUAACACAUGUAUUAAAAUAGGAAUUGAAAGUAAAAUAAAACUUUAAAAUUAAUAUAUUUAUUUGAAUUUGCUCUUUGUUUGUGUACAAACCGCCCGUCGUUCCCAUAGAAUUUGUUGGGGUAAGUCGUAACAAGGUUAGUUUACUGGAAGGUAGACUUA
rnacentral:ncRNA from 1 species